AUACGUAGGGCGCGAGCGUUGUCCGGAAUUACUGGGUGUAAAGGGAGCGUAGGCGGGAGUGCAAGUCAGAUGUGAAAUACAUGGGCUCAACCCAUGGGCUGCAUUUGAAACUGCAUUUCUUGAGUGACGUAGAGGUCAUCGGAAUUCCAGGUGUAGCGGUGAAAUGUGUAGAUAUCAGGAGGAACACCGGUGGCGAAGGCGGCUUACUGGGCUUUUACUGACGCUGAGGCUCGAAAGCGUGGGGAGCAAACAGGAUUAGAUACCCUGGUAGUCCACGCUGUAAACGAUGAUUACUAGGUGUGGGGGACUGACCCCUUCCGUGCCGCAGUUAACACAAUAAGUAAUCCACCUGGGGAGUACGGCCGCAAGGUUGAAACUCAAAUGAAUUGACGGGG
rnacentral:rRNA from 1 species